AUCUGACCACACUAUGUUUCCCCAGUACUUCUUUUGCUUGCUCAAAUCUUCUGCUGCAAACUUUACAAACGUGGUUUAUGAAAAUAAUUAUGUUCUUUCUACUUCCAGAUUGUGGCUCCAGUGGUGUUCAGUGUAACAUGCAACCACAACCAUUGGUGUUGGACCUGAACGCUCCACUGAGAAGCCUAAAGGUGAAGCAUGGGGAAUGAGAGAUCGUGCCAUAAAGCCAGCGAUAAAAAGGUGCUGUUGAGAUCCAAAGUCACCACACCUGCAAUGACCUGAUCGUACUCUAGAUCGUCGUCUGCUGGAUUGUUGUCCGGAGGCGC